GUUUCGUAGGUGACCUGCGGAAGGAUCAUUAAUGAAUAAUAAGUUUGGUUGCGUUGUUGCUGGCUCUUUUGAGCAUGGUGCACACCUAAUGCCAACUUUUGAUACCACCUGUGCACCAUUUGUAGACAAAUUUGGAUACCUCUCGAGCAUUACUCGGUUAUAGGAUUUGCUGCAUAUCAGCUUUUCUUGGAUUUCCAGUCUACGUUUUUAAUAUAACCUUUGUGGUAUGUCUGAGAAUGUUAUUAAAUGGGCUUUACAACCUUUUUAAAUUUUAUACAACUUUCAACAACGGAUCUCUUGGCUCUCGCAUCGAUGAAGAACGCAGCGAAAUGCGAUAAGUAAUGUGAAUUGCAGAAUUCAGUGAAUCAUCGAAUCUUUGAACGCAUCUUGCGCUCCUUGGUAUUCCGAGGAGCAUGCCUGUUUGAGUGUCAUGAAAUUAUCAACCUUUUUUGAUUUUGUUGAAUUAGGCUUGGAUGUUGGGAGCAUKGCGGGCUUUUUUUUUGAAGUCGGCUCUCCUUAAAUGUAUUAGCUGGACCUUUGUUGCUUAGCUUUGGUGGGAUAAUUAUCUAUGCCAUUGACAUGGUAGCAUUUCAUAAUGAAGGGGUUCAGCUUUUCAAUUGUUAUCUUUUUUUUUUAUUCAAAAGGAUGAUAUUUUUAGCAAUUUGACCUCAAAUCAGGUAGGACUACCCGCUGAACUUAAGCAUAUCAAUAAGCGGAGGAAAAGAAACUAACAAGGAUUCCCCUAGUAACUGCGAGUGAAGCGGGAAAAGCUCAAAUUUAAAAUCUGAUGGUCUUUGUGGCCUUCCGAGUUGUAAUCUAGAGAAGUGUUAUCCGCGCUGGACCGUGUACAAGUCUCCUGGAAUGGAGCAUCAUAGAGGGUGAGAAUCCCGUCUUUGACAUGGACCACCAGGGCUUAUGUGAUAUGCUCUCAAAGAGUCGAGUUGUUUGGGAAUGCAGCUCUAAAUGGGUGGUAAAUUCCAUCUAAAGCUAAAUAUUGGCGAGAGACCGAUAGCGAACAAGUACCGUGAGGGAAAGAUGAAAAGAACUUUGGAAAGAGAGUUAAACAGUACGUGAAAUUGUUGAAAGGGAAACGCUUGAAGUCAGUCACAUUGGCCAGGGAUCAAUCUUGCUUUGCUUGGUGUAUUUUCUGGUUUCAAUGGGUCAGCAUCAAUUUUGAUUGAUGGAUAAAGAUCAGGGGAAUGUGACAUCUUAUGGAUGUGUUAUAGCCCUUGUUCGUAUACAUUGGUUGGAAUUGAGGAACUCAGCAUGCUGUGAGGCCGGGUUUUCUUUUGUUAAAACCACGUACAUGCUUAGG
rnacentral:rRNA from 1 species